CAUUUCAAAAAAAUGAGAGAAGGUUAGCACUCUCCUUGACAAAGAUAGAAGAGGCCCUUGGGCCUAACAAGACACAUACAGUUAAGGCAUUGCCACCUACUUCAUGGCAUCUAACCACUGUUUUAA
rnacentral:ncRNA from 1 species